UUCAAAUUAAUAGUAUUCUCGUAAAGACCGGUGUAAAGAUAUAUCGAUUAGAAGAUUGCAUGUAAGAAUAUCGAUUAAAGUUACUAGAAUUGACAAUUACGAUAAAUAGUUUAUUUUCUUCCGCCAUAUUCGAUUUCCUAUUGUUUGAAUCUUUUGAAUCAAUAAUCGAUACCUUUAAUCGAAUAGAUUAGUAUCGAAAUAAAGCUUUAUUAUCAAGUGAACAAUUUGUCAGACGUAUUUGUUCUUUACCAAAAAUUCUUUCGUUGUUUUUCGCUGCGAACAAGGAAUCGCGAGAUAAAACGCAAGGAAAUCGAGAGUGAAUCGCGGCUCCUGUCGCGUUCGCUGCGGUUUUCCUACUUGUUUACGUUUACUUGCUCGAGUUUACGUUUCUCCCCACGAACAGAUCAUGUUCCACUGGUCAGAUACUUUUUAUACGUGUGAGAAUACACGAAAUAACACUGGGGAUUGGUUGAAAUGUAAUACCUCUUAUUUUAUUACUUGUGCUGUUCCGGUCUUAGAUGUAACUAAUUGUUAAAGUACUAUCCUAUUUAUUAAAUCCAACAUAUGACUUAUGUUUAGCCUAUUCUACAAUAUGCCUAUUUGUUUAAAUUUUGAAGAAAAUUUUUAAGUGAGUUAGAUAUUUUACUUCGACGAAUACUUAAGUCUUGAAUUUAGUUGGUACCCGUAUAUCAGUAUACUGGGAAGCAAGUGGAAUAAAAUUUAAGAAGCACAGAUAUAUAUAACUGUGAAAUUACAUAGUGUUGUAAAUGAAUCAAGAGUCUAGUAAGAUUGAAGAUUUUGAAUAUUUUGGAUAUUCUGAUCGACUUGAAAUAUUUGAAUUUUUUUGAAAAUGGAGUAAGAUCUAACGUAGGAUAACGUUCACAAAAUGCAGAUGUUCAUGAUUUUCACGACACGUGACACUAUAAAAAUUUUACGAUUAAAAACUCAAAAAAUCAAUAAUCACAUAUCUUAUGAACAUUGAAGUCUACGAAGUCGACACACGUGCUAUUAAAAACACGAUCGAAAGUCGAAAAAGCCAUAAAUAUGUGACCUAAUAAUCAUCAUAGAAGUUUUGAAAUCUAACGCUAUUAGUGAUUUCGAGAAACAUCCCAAGACGACUGGAACAUCCCCGGACGAUUGCUUAUCCAGAAAUAAACUGGAACCUACGCGCAAGCGUGUCCAGAAAGUUUCUACGGUCACCUUGCCAGAUUCUCGCAAACGUGGAAAGAGGAAGAAAAUGGAAAAGUCACGCGAGCAUCGUUACGAAACCGCAGAUGGUAGAAUUGAUGACGUAGUUAUUUUGUAGCAUGCCAGAGGAAAGAGUGUUCACUGUGAACGCGUGUAUAGCCCGUGUUGGAGGCCAGGACAGACGACCUCGAGGUCUGUCCUCCAUCUCUCUUGUUCUUCUUGUAGGUAUUUCGGAGUCAACCGGACAGCAGGUUUGACAAGGCAGAAGCAGGGUGGACGGCCGGCCACUUGUGCUGCAUCUUCCAAACCUGUGUGAACGCUUAUUUCGUUAUCUAACUAUACGGCAAAUAUAUAUAGAAAUUUUAGCUGUAUCUGCAAUUCGAUUAGUAUUCCUGGCAUUUCUUCGCGAUCAUUUGCAUUAAAUCAGGCAAGAAGGAAUUUCUUCUUAUUUUUGUUAUAAGAAUGAACGUUAAUACUAUUAAACUGUUAAUUGAAAGUAUGAGAUAAUUUGUCAGUAGAAUUAUAUUAUAUCUUAAAGAAGGUUUGGAUUAUGUUUGUGCACGUGGAACUUAGUUCCAUUCUCUUCCGAGAAAGAAUUUUAAUAGGUAGGCGUGUAUUUCUAACACUCAUUAAUUGCCAUCACUUUUCAGUGCAUAAAUUAUUUGAAACGAAAUUGUGAGUGAAAAAAUUGUACAAGUUCCAUUUCAAGAAUUUUUGAAUUCUAUUAUAGAACUGAUCAUUUUCUGAAUUAAUUAAUCUUUCAGACAUCCUUUAGUUCCACUAGACAAUUUUUCAAUGCAUAAAUUGUUCUAAAAAAGAAUACCGUAACAUGUAACUGUUACUGUAGAAUGUUCUUUCAAAACAUGUUUCUUGGACCGUAGAACCGAUAAUUCUUCUAGAUCUAAACAACCAAAUUAAUUAAAUCAAUACGAAAGUGCACUAAAUCAUCCAAUAACGACCAGAAAGAUCAAGGCACAUUUUUCUUAAGAAAACCACGGAUAAAUUAUUUAUACGAGUGAACGAAAGGAGGUAGCUUGAUAAAUCUGGGAAAGUUUCACCGCAAAACCAAGCACGUGGACAAAGUACAUAUCGUGCACGAUGGAUGAUACCUUAGCUGGAAAGACACUUGGUACACUGUCCAACGAGUUCUUCUUGUUAGAGAAAUCAGUUAUCCACUUUUCUGUGGAUAGUCAUUCAGUGUCUCAUUACAGUUCUAAUGAAAUUUCAAAAUAUUUUACAUUGCACGUACAAUAUGUAGGCAAAAGUUUUCAAUGGUAAGUGUUCAAACGUUUUUGUGAGCCAGUGCAUUUGCUAAAUGAAUUGUGCAACAGAUCUCCAUGUUUAAUUAACAUGUAUUAUUACUUAUUUUUCAAUAAUAGAUGCUGACUUCCAUCUAUAUAUACGUACAGUAUAUGAUUACCUUGUUUCUCUUAUGAUAAUUUUGAAAGAUGUUCUUGAUUUUAUAAAGGAAAAAUAAUUGGUGCGACUACGUAUCUCUCUUUCUCUUGAUGGUAUAUGCGACACUCAACGUGUUAAAGUCACUUUAUGAUCAUAAUGUCACAGGUCGUUCAACUCCUUUUGAUAUUGCGUUGGAUAAUUUCAUUAUUUGUUGUUUAGUUACUCUUUUAUAUAUAUGUAUUGCUUAUUGCUUAAUUAUAAAAAACUGAUACGUCAAUGUAAAGAAGUCAUGUUGUAGCGAUCUUUAAUAUAACUUUGAAGUAAUUGAUUUUUGAAACAAUAUGAAAAUCACUGUUACUUUUAAUUAAGAAUCAAAAUUGGUAUCGAUAUUCGUUAUAGAUAUUAUUUCAAAUAUUUCAUUGAUCAAAAAAUGCAAACAUAAACGUUUGAAUACUUUCUGGCUCAUUGUCUAUGUGACACGUGUAGUAAACAAGGUAUUACGUAUCUGUUAUACAUUAUACAGAAACUUUAAUAGCCGCUCCUAUUGUGUUUCGAUUAUCUUAGACAUAAAAUAUUUGGACAGAUAGUAAAUAUUUCAAUAUUUUUCCAGAAAUAAGCGUGAUAAGUAAUGUUCCGAAAGAAAGCCAAUUCAAUCCGAAAAUUUGCUAAAGAUAAUUCAUUUAAGGAAAAAGGGCAUCGUCUACAGGGAAAGAGAUACGUUUAUCGCAAACUAAUCUGGAAUUUUUGGUAUCGUUAAAAUUUCAACGUUUCUCUCGAUAACAUUCGUUGAUAAAAAAGCUUCAGUGUACCGAGAAA